GCCCGGACUCAGGCUCUCCUUUCCGCCCCCCAUCCCUCCCCCAGAGCCCUGCCGCCCGGGCUCAGGCUCUCCUCCCCCCCCAAUCCCUCACUGGGAGGCAGCCUGGGCUCGGGCUCUCCUCCCCACAUCCCUAACCAGGAGGCCGCCCAGGCUCAGGCUGCCAGUGCCACAUGGGGGGGCUCCGGCUGCAGCCCCGCCUGGCAACAGGCGAUGUAAGUAACGCAGUGUCUACACAGGCGACUUACAUUGGCGGGAGCUACAUUGUAGUGUAGAUGCUUACAGAGCUAGAUUGACUCAAGCUGCCUUACGUCACCCUACCUCUGUAGUGUAGACCAGGCCUUAGUUCAAAGGCUGCCUCACUGGUUAGCCAGUCUGUAUCCAGAUAUUCUUCCCCUUCCUUGACAGGCAGAUCCCAUUUCUGCUCAGCAGCCCUUCCCAGAACAGCCUCUCCUGGUUGAGGAAGCCAAAGCCCAAGCGACACCAGCCGUGCGUUCGUUUCCAGGGUGUGUCUGGCUCUGCCUGGGCCGCUACUCUUGAUGGGAAGGGUUGAUGACAACGCCACCUGCACCACCAACUCCCUCGCUCCCAGAGCCCUGUAGUCCCAUCUGAUCUGCUCAGGGUCACACCCUGCAGGACCUUUAGUGCCCAUGUGGACGAGCAGUGGUAGUCAGAGGGCCGGACGAUCCUCAGAUAUGGGCCCUUCCAGGAUAUGGUGUGUCAGGCUGGCAGCUGAAUGCCUCACUUCCCCCUUAGAAGGGAGUCACCAACCACCACCACCCUUUGUUUCCUCCUGGGAGAGGUGGCCAUGAUCCUCUUGGGGGUGCGCCCAUGGGGGUACGCGGCUUCUCCUCCACCUUUCGGGGAGGUUCCUCACCCCGGAUGCCAGGGCAGCAUACAGGUUUUAUCUAUAGGGAGGGUGGGUUGGGAGCAGAGGUGCAGCACUGCUUGCUGCCAGAAAUAAUCUGCUGCCAGAUUCCGCCCUGUGCUGGAGCCGUUUCCUCCUGCCCUGGUGGCGCUCCUGCAGCCCUCUGCAGCUGCAUUGCUUCCUCAGCCUUGGAGAUCUCCAUGUGCGUAUUUUCAACGGCUUCCUCCUGUGCAUGGAUGCUCCUCGGUGUAGCACCUACUUCGGCAGCUCUCCCACCUGCUUCUUGAGGGACUCUACCCGUAGGCAUCUCCCACACCAGACAGUGCCCCCAACCUGGCUUUCUGUGACGGGGAAACACAGGCCCCAGUCCAUGCAAAUCCACACCAGGGCCUGGACUGAGGGUUCUCUGUCUGGAUGCAGGUGCAGAUGGAGGAACUAGGCGUAGCAUAGGCAAUGUGGUCUUUUGGAACCAUGUGAUUUUAUUCUUGUCUCCCUCCUACAAACUGCCUCUCAAACUCCCCUAGGUGCUAGCUCCUUCUUGCUCACUUGGAGCUUGUCUACACUUGAAAUGCUACAGCCACACCACUGCAGUGCUUCAGUACAGACAAUAGGGGUUCUCCUGUCGGCAUAGGUAACCCAGCUCCUCAAGAGGGGUAGCUAGGUUGACGGAAGAAUUCUUCUAUCUACCUAGCGCUGCCUCCACUGGGGAUUAGGUCGGUUUAACCCCGCUGCUUGGGAGUGGAUUUUUCUCAUCCCUGAGCACCGUCGUUAAGCUGGCUUAAUUUUCUAGUGUAGAGCAGGCCUCAGUGUCUGGCUUCUAAGCCCUUCUCCUCUAUGUCAGCCUUGCCCCCUUAUUAACACACAGGGGAAGGGUGAUCAAGGGACAGGAGGCUAGUGCUCACUUAGCUAGCAGCUAGUCCCCUGACAGACAAGCUUGCUCAUUAGAAAUCAGGAGGUGUUUACACACUACAGUGCCGGAGGCCAUGAAAGCACCUUGGAUGGAUGUGAUUUCUCAGUACGUUUACGGCUACCUAUGGUGAUGCAGAGUUCCAGCUACAUCCAUGAGCCUUGGUUUUGAUGAAGUUCUGCACCAUCAUUAAUAACUACCUCUGUGAUCACGUUGAAUGGGUGACCCUGUGUAUCUCCGAGAGCUCUGGGCUAAAGGGCAGUGUGUUAAUGUGUAUGGGGGAGCAGCUUGGUUUUCUUUUUUUAAAGGAAAUUUGGUGUAAACAACAUUAAUGCAGUGCCCAGGGUGAGAUGUAAGCACCCUAAAGGAAAUGAAAAGUUACAGCUCUUGCAGCAAUUAACUUGGCCAUGUUUUAGGGUAAUAUUAUUAUUCUCUCUCUCUCUUUGGGGUUUAUCCUGGGGUCCAUUGCCAUAGUAUCUGAGCAUCUACCACAGCAAGAUGAUAGCAACAGCAAAGUUCCUAGUGGAUUUCAUGUGGUCUCUGGCUUGCCUGCUUUUUUGUAAAGACCCUGCUUGAGGGAAGGUUUGUGUGAUUGACAUGUUUAUUUAUUUAUUGUAUUUUAUUAAUUUCCAGUUUCCUCUUUUUUCCCCUUUUGGUUGGCUGCUUGGGACUUUGGCCAGAGGGGGUUGUCAGUGUGAGAGUGUCAUUCUUAUGGUAGAAAAUACUUUUGAAAAGGACGGUCCUGCAACAAUUCCUACAGAGGCUCGGAGUCUGAAUUUGUCAGAUCUCUUAUGCCCAAAUAAAUCCGUUAGUCUUUAAGGUGCCACCAGACUCCUUGUUGUUUUUGUAGUUCCUAAUAGUGUUAGUAUACUUAGUUAUUCAUAGUCCCCCGGGCUUGGAUUGCUGUAAGAAGCCCAUGCCAGUCAGCGAUCCACAUCUUAGUUGUUUGAAGAGUCUGGGUGAGUCCCACAUUCCUGAAAAGUGCCGUAUCUGGAAGGGAUUCAAACCCCUGGCCAGAAAGGUCCCUGGAUCACCACCUGCAUCCAUAACAGUGACGCCCCACCAAUAAUAACUGCUCACUCCACGAGAGCUCAGGUAUCGUCAGCCACAUUUCUGGCCCUUGUCUCCAUCCAGGACAUCUGCAGAGCUGCGACGUGGUUGUUGGUACACACCUUCACGAUGCAUUACGCCAUCACCCAGCAAGCCAGGGGUGGCGCUGGAUUUGGCAAAGCUGUGUUGCAAUCGACACAUCCAUGAACUCCUACCCACCUCUGGAGGUGUACUGCUUGGGAGUCACCUGCAAUGGAAUGGACAUGAGCAAGCACUUGAAGAAAAACGGUUACUCACCUUCCAUAAUUGGUAUUCUUCAAGAUGUGUUGCUCAUGUCCAUUCCAUGACCCAUCCUCCUUCCCCUCUGUCGGAGUUCCGGCAAGGAGGAACUGAGGGAGGUGGGAGCCAGCUGUGCCCCUUAUACUGACAGAUACACACGCUACUCCAGAUGGCGCCAGAGCCGGUCCCCUACGGAAACCACUGAGGGAAAAACUUCCAGCACCGGUGCCCAUGGUGAGCACACACACCUACAAUGGAAUGGACAUGAGUAACACAUCUCAAAGAACAGUUGCAAAAGGUGAGUAACCGUUUUUUCUUCUCAUACAUUCUGGGAAGCAGUUUGAGUGUCUCUUCCUCCCCACUCACCCCAGGAGCUCGGGGCAGGUCUCUGCUGCUAGUUGGGCUUUCGAAGGAUCUCAGAAGAGGACAUGUCUGCUGGGGCGAUGGCCAGAAUGUCCUUGGAAAAGGCACUGGCCCUUAACAAGUGUAACAGUCACUUCGGCAAUGCUCCAGGCCGCUUCUAUGCUCAGCAUUCAGAAAUGCAAGGAGGCCAAAGCCCAGACCAGCUGGGGGCUGAGAAACAAUUCCAGAUUUGUGUGGCCUCUCUGCCAGCACAGUCCUCUGCUGUGACAAUGGGUCCCUCUGUCCCGCAGAGAACAGCAGCUCGUUCAGCCAGACUCCAGUGAAUUCCCCUGCCCCUCUCUGGAUGCCAGCGCCUCGGUUCUGCCUCGGGGCUCCUAGGUUCUGCUGGGUCCAUGGAAAUCCUGCAGCAGCUUCAGAUACAGUGGACAUUUCCUCCCUGCAGAGCAGCCCUCAGAGGAGCUGGUCUGCUCGGCGUACGCGCUCCCCAAAAUGUGUCUGCUUUUGAUCCAGGCACUGACCCCACAUGACUGCACCGUAAGGAGGGAGCUAGGGGGUUGGGCAGCUUGGGAGAUGAUUUCAGAUCAAGGGGUGAACACACUAGUUUGGUAUUCACGCUGAUAUUACCAACUUUGGUUGCAAUUUUAAUACCCCAUUGAAAUGAUUGGGGCGUUCCCCUUCUUGGAGCUGUUCCUGGCUGUCUUCAGCCUCAGACCUGGGCCACAUUAGAAGGUUUUACUAGCAAAACUUGCCUUUUCUUGGUAAUCGCUGUGGGCAUGAACGCCCUGUUCUAGGUCCUGGCGGUAAAACUCUGAUUUUCUGGCAGUGGCUGAAAACCCGCUCGCCGAAUGACACACCACCUGCUGGCACUGAUUGACUGGUACAGUGUCAGUGCCGACACUCACUGCCUGUGCCGGUAGGAACAGUCCUGUAGUGUCCCUGUCCCUCCGAUGGUGACCUCUCUGCUGCUCUGCGGUCACAGUGACCAGAAGCCCAUCCCCCUUUAAAACUCCCAGCGUGUUUUCGAAGUGCUCGCCUGCCUUGAUGAGCAGGCACACAGGUCUGGCGCCACUUAGAGCUACAGCUAAACCUCAUGCUGCUGCCUUGUCCCAGAUCCAAGGAAGUCCUGGAUCUCCUUGGCCUGUGGGAAGAAGGGGCAAUGCAAACACAGCUGCAUAAUAACCCAGCUGCCAAAAUAAAUCUGUCUUCAGACAUUGCAGAGGGCAUGCAGCAGUUGGAGGACGAGCAGCAAUGCUGGGUGAAAGGGAGGAACCGUGACCGGCCUAACAAAAGGCAAAGGAGACCAACACAAGCUGACGCUGAUCCCAGACCCACCGCUUCUAUGCGGAGCUGAAUGCCACCCUUGGUGGGGAUCCGCCACCACCCUGUGAGUGACAGUGGACACCUCACAAGCCCUGGAGGCAGGAACCCUCACCGGUGCCCUGAUGACAAGCUCAUUUGGGGACAGGGAUGCAGGGCCUGUGGACUGCCAGGAGCUCUUUGAGACCCAGCAGGACUCGACCUAGGCAAGGCAGAAGGCAGCAUAGGGAGCUGUAUUAAUGCACGCUGCUCUUUUCCUUUCACUCUCUGCACGGGCCCUGAAACUACCUCCCCCUUCUCCACCCUCCCUCCCUUUCCAAAAUGGUGGCCAAAAGCACACAUGCAGGGAACACAUAAAUUGCCUUUUGAAGAAGAAAUUUUAUUUCAAAAAUGUGCCCUGGCAGUAAAGCUAAAGAGUCCUGUAAAGAUCACCAGCAUAUCAACCUUGCUAGAUUUUCGCAGGCCGCCGGAUUGGAUUUCUACCAACAAAAAUCAAGGCAUUCAUUGCAAACACUGAUACUGGACCAUUCAAAUAAAAACAAAAAAAUUCAAAUCACCCCUGCAAGCAGCCCAGUAACUGGCCAUUCAGACGACCUGAUUCUUAUGAAUAAACUUGAAAACUGAACGUGCAACAUCACCAUUGCAAAAGGCAGGGCUUUGGUUUUCCAGUCCCAGAGCACAAGUCCGAAAUAAAUCACUCACGUGGCGUGCUUGGAUUCAGGGUACAGAGAGGUAGAGAGGAUCGAUUGCUGGCUGAGGGGGCUUGGCUUUGUACUGGCUUGAAGAGCUCAAUAGCUGCAGCAGCAGAGUUCUGCUUUUGUGAAAUUUUAACUUCUCUUGCAUAUGUCCCGUUUUGUCCUCUCGCACAAUCCCAGUAACGUUUUGAAGCAGAUGCUCUUUAAUCUGUGACUGAACAUGCCUGGGAAGGACAGCCUUGGCUCAUUCACCGUGGUAGGACACUGUGACUCUUCCAAGGGGUAGCCGAAGUGGAGGCACCUCGCUACCACCUGCCCUUACCAGGCUGGUCUGUGCCUCCCGCUUUUGCUUCUUUGCUAGCAUCUCCAUUUCCUGGACUCUUUCCUUUAUUUCCAGUUUUCUCAUCUCUAGUUUGGCCAGUUCCAACUGCAUUGCUAUUCACUGGGACUUGUGCCUGGCUGGUGUCCGAAGCCCACACCCCUCUUGGCCACAGGCACUUUGAAUAGAUUAGUCAGUUCCUCCUGAUGUCUAUCAUCUUCCAGGAGCACAGGUCUCAUCCCCUCUGCAGUGUUUACUGGACCUCCUGGGCCAUGCCCGACACUGAGCUGCAGUGUGGUAUGUUUAGCAGAUGUCUCCGGCUUACUCACCUUGUCCUUCCCUUUGUUCUGUUUCCCUUACCCAAAAUAAACAAAUGGAAAAUAACAAACUGCAACCUUUUUUCUUUACCUGUUUUCAAGCUGCUCACCUUUGAGUCUCUCAAUAUCUGUAUUAUCUGGUGCACAAGUGUCUGGAACGUGAUCCUUGGCUUAUGAGCAGACAGGCUGUAGAUCCUGCCAACUACAGCGAUGCUUCCUGGGGGUACCCAGGGCUUGGAUGGAAGCACCUCGCUACCACCUGCGGUCAAGGUUCUCAGUUUCUAUCCAGGUUUGGAAGGAAGUGUUUAUCCUCCUGGAUGUAUGUUCUCAUGCAUCCACCUCCUGAUGGGUGGCCAGUCGGAACGGAUCAACCAGGUAAUUGAACGGUAUCUACACUGUUUCCCAAACCACUGCCAAAAUAACUGGCUGGCUGAGAUGGGGUAUACAAACCCCACCCUGAGCCUGAAGGGGUUGCAAGGCACUACUGGGCCCAGAUAUCCCCACCCCUACAGGCCUGCUGAGCAUGUUCCAGCUGAAGAAGUGGAGUAAAAGGCGCUCAGAAGCCCAGGCAGGGGGUAGUGGACAGGCAGCAGGAGAGAAGAGUCCUUCUCCAGGAAGCCUGAGAGGGAGCCACAUAGCAAGUAAGGCCCUCUGAGAACCAGCAAGCCUUGCAGGGCCCUGCUCCUUUGGUCUUUGUGAAGCAAUUGACUGUUUGGAUCAUAUGGGCCAUGCCCCAGACUGAAGGCCCACAUAGGUAGGAAGUAGCUUCGGGUGGCAGAUUCAGGCUUGCUGCAGGGAAGAACCUGCCAGUGUUACUUCCCACAGGGCCCUGGGGUGGGUCCCAGGGGAGAGGGAGGCCUGGGUCCUCCUACUAGGCUCCAUUCAAAGGCUUCGAUGCAGGGGGGAGUCCCAGACAUUCCCAGCCGGGGCUCAGGAACCAGGCACUGUUACUGACACCCCCCCCCCCAACAGAGAGAUAAGGGGUUGGAGGUCAAGUGCACUAUCCACUAGGCCACUCAGUCAUCUGAGCACCUAUCACAGCUGCGUUACGCCUAUUAGCCAAAUUUGCUGAUAAUAGCGCAGAACACACUUCCACCCAAUUCAGUCCUUUCUACUCCAAUUAUGAUUUUCAUCCACAGUUUGAUCCCUUUGUCCCCUUGUCCAGGGCGGUUCCUGCUGACUCCGAUCUGGUACUGACUAUUCAGAAGCCAUAGGCUAACCUGCAGGAUCACCUGGAGACCGCCGAAAUAGCCUACAGACAUCACGCUGACAAAUACCGCACUGCUGAAGGCCGGUCAAAAGGUCUGGCUGUGCACGUGCAUCUACAUGCCAGCCGACCUGGGCACCGAUUGGACCACCAAUACACAGGCGCUUGCACCAUCAAUCCAGUGGCAUUUGAAUUGCAGCUCCCUCGGUCCUGGAAGAUCCAGCCAAUAGUUCGUGUAUUCCUCUCAAAGUUUUUUCUCAGUGAUGCAUUUUCUGGCCAGAGUCCAUCUCCCCGGUUCGAGUAAAGGACCACAAGGAACAUGUAGUUCAGAACAUCCUGGAUUCCUAAAUACACCCAAGAACAAUGUAUUGUUUGAUUAACUGGGAAGGUUAUGGGCCCAAAGAACGCUCUUGGGAGCCAGCUGAUUGCGUGCACACCCCUGCAAAAGUACAGGCUUUCUACAGGGAUCCCUCUGAAAAGCCUGGUCCUGGGGCGCCCGGGGACCACCCUCAGUGGGUGGAGCAUCAGGCCUCCCAGGGCUGCUGAGCAAGAGUGUUUUUCUGCAGCCCUGUGCUACAACCUGCAGCUGAUACCCCGCAAACGGGGUCAGCUGACUAGCAGCAGACUGCUAAUUGGUCACCGCCUAGCAUAAAGCUUCCUGUUCCUGCCCAGGCCCCUUGUCUGAGCAACUGGUCGCUAGGCCUGCUGCUGAGUGCCCCUGAGACCAAGUUCCUGCCUCCAUGCCUGGUUCCCGCUGUUCCUCGUACCUCACCUCGUUCCUGCUCCCUGGUCCUGACCUCAGUUGCUGGCUUUGACUCCUGGUGUGACUUCUGGCUCUGAUGCUGGUUUAACACUGGGCAUGGCUUCUGGCUCCAAAUCCAGCUAUGAUUCUUGGCGUGAUUCCUGACCAUGACUCUGCUCUGGGCUCAGACCAUUAGGUCAGACGUCCAGGCCCAGACACUCAUGUACCUCGGAUCCGUGUGGACAAAGAUAUUAACAAUCAGGUCUGAAUGUGGGUUUCUGGCCAGACUGGCAAGUCCCUCUUGGCUUAGAAGGUCACACUGUUUUUCCUGCACCUUAUCUGGAGCUCCCUAGGUAUGAGACUAGGCUUUCAGCAGUUUGGUACAAAGAGGAUGUUCAGUUGCCGGAUAGGAAGGAUAUGUCCGACAAGCCCUAUAAGACCUGAUGGGUCUCCUACAGCAGUAAGGAGUCUCUUGUCAGAGAAGGAACUAAUGGAAUUUCAGAAGUCGGCUCCAGACUCUGGAGGGAUGACAUGUCCAAAUAAAAGUGUGGGGGACAAGUUGGCCUCGUCACCAUCGGAAGAUGCAGUGGCAUUCCAUGAGCUGAUGGAUUGCAUGGUAAAGACUUUGGAUAUUCCUUCAGGCUCGUUGGAGGAAUCAUUUCAAAAUCAGUUUUUGAUAUACUGGGAGCAGCUACCCGACAAGGGGUUACACUCUACUCACUGGAAGGAUUGUUCCAACCAGCAAAAGCAGUAUGGAAUCCUCCGUCGUCUCAGCCUUUAGUGAAGAGGGCGGACAAAUUGUAUCAGUUUCCACAAGAAGCUCUGGCUAUGUUUCACACCCACCCACCCAUCUCCUAAUUCAUUAGUUGUAGAAGCGGCAUUACAAAGAUCAAAAGGUGCUCAGGUGGACUCCACUCCCUCUGAUGAAGAAGGGAAAACACUGGAUGGUAUUGUGAGAAAAAUGUUUUCUUCAACCACUUUAGUCAUGUGUAUUUUGAAUUAUGAAACUGACAUGGUGAGAUACCAGUAUGGUACCAUUUAUGGGGGAAAAUGCUAUCAUUCCUUAAUACUUUACCUGAAGAACAUAUGAGGUUAGUGGAUGCUCUCCUCCCCGAAGGGCAGGAUGUUGCCAACAUCAGCUGAGAGCAGCAUUUGAUUCUUCAGACACUUUGGCAAUGGCAGUAGCUUCAGCUAUCACUCUAAGGCAUGCAUGGCUUAGGUCAAUAGGUCUGCCUCAUGAGACAAAGACGAGGAUUGAAAACCUUCCUUCUGAAAGAGAAGGUCUCUUUAGCGUACAGAGGGAUUAAGUGUUAGAAAAGAUUAAAAAUGUGAGAUCUAUAGCUAGAUUUCUGGGUGUCUUUACUAUGGAGAAGAGAUCCUCUGCAACUCCAUUAUUCAGAUACCGACAACAAUAUCUGAGUUCCUCUGCAUCAAUUCCUUACCAUUAUCACAGAAGGAAUUAUUAUCACCAACCUCAGUAUCAUCUCUCUCAGCAGCAACAUCAAAGGAAGGAGUUGUAUAAACCUCUUAAUAAUAAAGGGAAAACUUCCAUUUCUUCAGCUGCCGCGAUUCCUGGAGUGUCUUAGGUUUGACAUGAGGAUGUGGGUUACAAACCAGUUCAGUUGGACAUCAUUUAUCCGCAGUUUGGGGACUGUUUGUCCCAUUUUUAUGAGCAGUGGGAAUUAACAUCUGAUAGGUGGAUCCUGGAAGUUUUUGCAAGCAGUUAUACAACUGAGUUCGAGAUCUUUCCCCCUGAACAACCCACCUCUUUCAUCCCAGGUCAGGGAUCAAGUUUGCUUUGAUUUGCUAAGAAAAGAGGCUCAAUCUCUACUGUAGUCAGGAGUGAUCAAGACAGUACUGCGAGAUCAGAGAGGGAUGGGGCUUUAUUCAUGCUAUUUUCUAAUUUACAAAAGGUGAGGCCUUUGCCCUAUCUUGGAUUUAAGAAAACUAAACACCUAUAUAAAGAAAUUUUGUUUCCUCCUGUUACCUCUUACCUCUUUAAUCCCUUCUUUUUUCCUUCAGGUUUGGGCUGUCCAGAGCUCCUGGAGUGUUUACAGAAUACCUCCCUGUAGUAAUAGCAGUGAACCUAAGAAGGCAGGGGAUGUGUGUACACUUAUACCUACAUCCUAUCACAUGUAAAACAAAUAUGGUCCUUCUUUGCCUGUCUGGGAUUACCACUAAACUGGGAAAAGUUGUUCCUAAGCCCAAUUCCAAGGAUGCUUUUUAUAGGGGCCAUACUAGAUUCAACUGUGUCAAGAACUUUUCUCCCAGAGGAGAGACUUAUAAAAACGUCUAAAUAUCUCCUUCUCCAAUCCCCACAACAAUCAAUUCUCUUCUGUUCUCCAGUUGCUGAGUCUGUUGGCAUCACCCAUCUCAAUGAGACCAUAUGCUCAUCUUCAGAUGAGAGAUCUUCAACACUGGUUAGCAAUAAGUUACAGGCCAGGUUUAAACAACAUGCAUCACAAACUAGUAAUUCCACAGCAGGUGAUAACAUCCUUAAUGUGGUGGACAAACCCUCGACAUGUAAUGAAGGGUGUGCUUUUUAAUUUCCCUCUGCCAGUAGCAAUACUUACGUCUGACGCAUCUACACUGGUAUGGGGAGCGUAUUUCAAUAAAAGAUAUUAUCUCACUUA